rnacentral:tRNA from 1 species
GGCACUGUGGCUCAAAGUGGUAGAGCACUUGCCUGGAGUGCAAAACUGCUCAAGGACAGUGCCC